rnacentral:rRNA from 1 species
CGGAUGAGGGUAGCUUGCUACCUGAUUCAGCGGCGGACGGGUGAGUAAUGCCUAGGAAUCUGCCCGAUAGUGGGGGACAACGUUUCGAAAGGAACGCUAAUACCGCAUACGUCCUACGGGAGAAAGCAGGGGACCUUCGGGCCUCGCGCCAUUAGAUGAGCCUAGGUCGGAUUAGCUAGUUGGUGAGGUAAUGGCUCACCAAGGCUACGAUCCGUAACUGGUCUGAGAGGAUGAUCAGUCACACUGGAACUGAGACACGGUCCAGACUCCUACGGGAGGCAGCAGUGGGGAAUAUUGGACAAUGGGCGAAAGCCUGAUCCAGCCAUGCCGCGUGUGUGAAGAAGGUCUUCGGAUUGUAAAGCACUUUAAGUUGGGAGGAAGGGUAGUAACUUAAUACGUUGCUACUUUGACGUUACCGACAGAAUAAGCACCGGCUAACUACGUGCCAGCAGCCGCGGCAAUACGAAGGGUGCAAGCGUUAAUCGGAAUUACUGGGCGUAAAGCGCGCGUACGUGGUUUGUUAAGUUGGAUGUGAAAUCCCCGGGCUCAACCUGGGAACUGCAUCCAA